UCUAGCUUGCUAGAUGCUGACGAGUGGCGCACGGGUGCGUAACGCGUAUACAAUCUACCUUUAACUGAGGGAUAGCCCAGAGAAAUUUGGAUUAAUACCUCAUAGUAUUAUAAUUAGGCAUCUUUUUAUAAUUAAAACUUCGGUGGUUAAAGAUGAGUAUGCGUACUAUUAGCUAGUUGGUAAGGUAAAAGCUUACCAAGGCAACGAUAGUUAGGGGGCCUGAAAGGGUGAUCCCCCACACUGGUACUGAGACACGGACCAGACUCCUACGGGAGGCAGCAGUGAGGAAUAUUGCACAAUGGAGGAAACUCUGAUGCAGCCAUGCCGCGUGCAGGAAGAAUGCCCUAUGGGUUGUAAACUGCUUUUAUACAA
rnacentral:rRNA from 1 species